rnacentral:tRNA from 1 species
AGAAAUUUAGUUAAGUUAAAUAAUAGUAACUUGUCAAGUUUCAGUCGGCAGCAGUCAGUUUCUA